rnacentral:rRNA from 1 species
AACGAACGCUGGCGGCAUGCCUAACACAUGCAAGUCGAACGAGAUCUUCGGGUCUAGUGGCGCACGGGUGCGUAACGCGUGGGAAUCUGCCCUUUGGUUCGGAAUAACAGUUGGAAACGACUGCUAAUACCGGAUGAUGACGAAAGUCCAAAGAUUUAUCGCCAGAGGAUGAGCCCGCGUAGGAUUAGCUAGUUGGUGUGGUAAAGGCGCACCAAGGCGACGAUCCUUAGCUGGUCUGAGAGGAUGAUCAGCCACACUGGGACUGAGACACGGAGCAGACUCGUACGGGAGGCAGCAGUGGGGAAUAUUGGACAAUGGGCGAAAGCCUGAUCCAGCAAUGCCGCGUGGGUGAUGAAGGCCUUAGGGUUGUAAAGCUCUUUUACCCGGGAUGAUAAUGACAGUACCGGGAGAAUAAGCUCCGGCUAACUCCGUGCCAGCAGCCGCGGUAA